CAGGUCCCCCAGCAGCCCAUUUUUUUUUUUCCUCCCAUCACAUUUAAGUCAUGUGUAUGGGAUCAUGAAGGAGGUGACAAUUUGGGAUUUGUCAGUGUAUGUUUCCGAAAGUGAAUGGUUCACAGCUGACGAGUAUCCAACAGAACCAGUUACACAGAAGACUGAGGAGUGGCUGUCAUGGCUGUGAUCUCACAUGAUC
rnacentral:scRNA from 1 species